UACGAAAGGGGCGAGCGUUAUUCGGAAUGAUUGGGCGUAAAGCGUGCGUAGAUUGUUUUGCUUUGUUUCUCUAUCCAGAUAUAAAUAUCAUUUAUAUUAAGAGAAUGAAAUGAAAACUUGAGUAUUUAUUAGGAGAGUAGAAUUCCUGGAGUAGAGGUAAAAUUUGUUGAUCUCAGGAGGAAUACCUAAAGCGAAAGCAGCUCUCUAGUAAAGCACUAACAUUGAGGCACGAAAGCGUGGGUAGCGAAGAGG
rnacentral:rRNA from 1 species